AGAUAACUCUAAAAAAGAGACUUAUUGUAACAACUUCAGUGUUAACUUCAGUGAUUUGGGCACGAGUGACAAUGAACUCUGCGUCAGAGCCUGAGCUACAUGUAAAUGCAAUCUAAGGAAGCAUUUUUUUAUUAUUAUUAAUUUGUUUUUUUCACGGGUGUGUCGCCCUGGACUGAAAGCAAGGAGGGAGGAUACGUGCUGAGUGCACACACACACACACACAAGCACUACACUGUCUUCCUCAAACAUCUUCAAGGUCCCUGAGGAGGGAUAAAUGGCCAACAGGAGGUGCCUACCCAGGAGAAACUCAUCUGGUGCUUUACAGGGCUCCAGUGAGCAGCGACGGGACAGCAAUGCUCUUUGCACUCGCUGUUCCUUUUUCCUAUGCAUAUACCUCUUUGAGAUGUAGCUUUAAAGAGGCAUAGGGCAUGGGAAAAUGGGGCUGCAGAGGUUUUCCACCGGGCAGACAACCAUCAUUUCAUCAUCCUCUCUGCAGGACAGCUGGCCUCAAAGUGCACGCGCACACACACACACACACACACACACACACACACAGAGGGAUGCUGCGAUCCACAUACUCUGACGCAAUUUUUUUUUCUGUCAGUCUGUUUUUUUUAUGAAAUAUUGCAUUGGGUUCAUUCAUUUGUGUGAGUGGGGAGUAAAGUGAUAGUGUUAUAUUGCUGAUUGAUUUGUUGUAUUUUUAAAUAAACCCAUCUUUGCUCUAAAUACUGUU